CAAAAACGACUCUCGGCAACGGAUAUCUAGGCUCUUGCAUCGAUGAAGAACGUAGCGAAAUGCGAUACUUGGUGUGAAUUGCAGAAUCCCGUGAACCAUCGAGUCUUUGAACGCAAGUUGCGCCCGAAGCCUUCUGGCCGAGGGCACGUCUGCCUGGG
rnacentral:rRNA from 1 species